UUUUUUUUUUUUUUUUUUUUUUUUCAGUUGAAACUGUCAAAACUUGGAGAAGGGGAACCGCGGAGGCAGGCAGGAGAGGAGAGUCCUGAAACCCGGUGGAGGUUGGGAAGAUGCUGUGCCUCGAGGAUUAGUUUAAACAGGGGGCUAUAAAAGAUGUAACAGAUGCAAACUGUAACGCAGGGCCAUUAACCCCUUCCCUGCCGCCGAGCACGCUCGGCCCCCACGCCCCGCACCUAUUGUCUCGGGUGCUAGAAGCUGCGGAAAACCUGGAAAAUUGUUGGGGAAAAAUCUUGAAAUAAAGAAAUGGUCACACAAGUGUCUGGGAUGAAACAGCUGGCCUGUCUGUAUUCAGGCUGAGACUUGCACACGACUGCAUAUAAAUAUAUGUUUAAUAAACCGCCCCUUCUCACGCCAGGCUCACAUCCCCACGCGAAAUGAGAAAAUUAGAAAAGGAGGACGGGGGCCGAGCACACCAAAACAGGGUAAAAAGAGAAAAAAAGGGGGAAAAAACCUACCUGCGAAGUCUUGUUUGUAGUUUUGGCCAGAAAUGGUGAGAAGAAAAAGCAUGAAGAAGCCGCGAAGUGUGGGGGAGAAAAAGGUGGAAGCGAAGAAACAGCUCCGGGAGCAAACUGUGCAAAACCUCACCAAGAGUGUCGGGAGGCAGGACCGUUAUUCCUGCGGAGCAGGAGAGACCCUGAAACACGCGCCACCUAUCUUUGUGGGGAGGGAUAAUUGAAGCGCCCUGAGCGUGAGCAUCAUGUGAAAACGUGAUCGCCAAG